AAGGAUAAAUUUAAAUUUGAUUUUUGCGUUGAAUAAGUUAUUUGAAAUAACUUUAGAUUGUUGGUUUUAGUAUAGUAAUAGAAUAAAUUUAUUUAUUUAUAGUUAAUUAGUAUUGUAGGAGAAAAUUGAAAAAUUUUGAAAAUGAUUUUUUCGUAAAGUAGACUUGUGUUGUACCUUGUGUAUCAGGGUUUAUUAAAUUAAAGUAAGAAAUAUACUUUUCCCGAGUUAGAAGGAGCUAGUUUAUUAUGUUGAUUAAUGUAGUAUCAUUAUCAAUAAUAGUAAGUUUGUAAUGAAAUGUUAGACGUCUUUUAAGAUAUCUGGUUCUCUAAGAAAUGAAUUUAAUUCAGUACUUAUUAGUAGUUUAUGACUUUAUUCGUAAACUAUUAAUUAAGUGUAAUAUUUUGAGGGAUAAGCUUUGGAAUAAUUAUUAUACUUUUAUAAGUGUAUUAAAAAUUGUAGGCUUUAAAUUAGCCAUCAUUUAAAUAAUGUUAUAAGUUAUUUUAUUUUAAUAUAAUUUUAUAGUUGUGUUAAAUAGUAUAUUAGAGUGAAUUAAUAAAUGUUAAUUUAAUUGUAAUAAUGAUAAAAUUAGUAUAUGUAUAAAAUGUAGAUUAUUUAAUAUGUGUUAAUUUAUGAAAAGGAAUUAGGCAAAAUUUAAUAUUCGCCUGUUUAUCAAAAACAUGUCCUUUUGAGAAAAAUUUAAGGUCGGGCCUGCCCACUGACAUUAGCUGAAGGGCCGCGGUAUUUUGACCGUGCAAAGGUAGCAUAAUCAUUAGUCUUUUAAUUGAGGGCUGGAAUGAAUGGUUUGACGAAAUAUUAACUGUCUCUUUAUAAUAAUUGGAAUUUAACUUUUGAGUCAAAAGGCUUAGAUGAAUAUAAAAGACGAGAAGACCCUAUAGAUCUUUAUAUAAUUGAUGUAAUUAUUUAUUUAGCUGUGUUGAUUAUAAUUAUAGUAUUAUAUUUUGUUGGGGUGACAUGAAGAUAUAAGUAACUCUUUAUAAUGGAAACAUUGAUUUAUGAUUAUUUGAUCCGUUAUUAACGAUUAUAAGAUAAAGUUACCUUAGGGAUAACAGCGUAAUUUUUUUUGAGAGUUCUUAUCGACAAAAAAGAUUGCGACCUCGAUGUUGGAUUAAGGAAUAUGAUUAGGUGUAGUAGUUUAAUUAAUAAGUCUGUUCGACUUUUAAAUCCUUACAUGAUCUGAGUUCAGACCGGCGUAAGCCAGGUCGGUUUCUAUCUUUAUAAGAUUAAGAUAUUUUAGUACGAAAGGACCAAAUAUUUAAAAUAAUUUUUUAUUGUGACAAAUACUAAU
rnacentral:rRNA from 1 species